rnacentral:lncRNA from 1 species
AAUCAUUCACCGCCUUCUUGAAAAUUAUUUGUUUGUUUUUUAAAAUUGUUAAGAUUGUACAUGAUUUAAUGAAAUUUUUAUAUAGUUGUUAGAAUUAUAUAUAAAAUUUUUUUUAAAAAGUGAGAUUGUUAGGAUUGUAUGUGAUUUGUUGAAAUUUUUAUAUGAUUGUUAGGAUUAUAUGAAAAAUAAAAAGAAUCAAUAAAACAGAAAGACUGAUUCAUCACUUUUGUGAAAAAUUAGAAAGACCGUAAAUCAUUU